rnacentral:snRNA from 1 species
GCUCGUGACCGUACAUAUACUAAAAUUGGAACGAUACAGAGAAGAUUAGCAUGGUCCCUGCGCAAGGGUGACACGCAAAAUCUUGAAGCGUUCCACAUUUUU